GGUCAAGCGAACAAGUGCAUGUGGUGGAUGCCUUGGCGAUCACAGGCGAUGAAGGACGCGGUAGCCUGCGAAAAGCUACGGGGAGCUGGCAAACAAGCUUUGAUCCGUAGAUGUCCGAAUGGGGAAACCCACUCCUUUUGGAGUAUCCAUGGCUGAAUACAUAGGCCAUGUGAAGCGAACGCGGUGAACUGAAACAUCUAAGUAACCGCAGGAAAAGAAAUCAACCGAGAUUCCCAAAGUAGUGGCGAGCGAAAUGGGAUGAGCCUUGCACUCUUUAUUUGUAUUGUUAGCCGAACGCUCUGGAAAGUGCGGCCAUAGCAGGUGAUAGCCCUGUAGGCGAAAACAGUAUGAAAGAACUAGGUGUGCGACAAGUAGGGCGGGACACGUGAAAUCCUGUCUGAAGAUGGGGGGACCAUCCUCCAAGGCUAAAUACUCGUGAUCGACCGAUAGUGAACCAGUACCGUGAGGGAAAGGCGAAAAGAACCCCGGGAGGGGAGUGAAAUAGAUCCUGAAACCGCAUGCAUACAAACAGUCGGAGCCUCGUAAGGGGUGACGGCGUACCUUUUGUAUAAUGGGUCAGCGACUUACGUUCAGUAGCAAGCUUAACCGUAUAGGGCAGGCGUAGCGAAAGCGAGUCCGAAUAGGGCGUUCAGUUGCUGGGCGUAGACCCGAAACCAGGUGAUCUAUCCAUGGCCAGGAUGAAGGUGCGGUAACACGUACUGGAGGUCCGAACCCACUAACGUUGAAAAGUUAGGGGAUGAGCUGUGGAUAGGGGUGAAAGGCUAAACAAACCUGGAAAUAGCUGGUUCUCUCCGAAAACUAUUUAGGUAGUGCCUCGUGUCUCACCUUCGGGGGUAGAGCACUGUCAUGGUUGGGGGGUCUAUUGCAGAUUACCCCGCCAUAGCAAACUCCGAAUACCGAAGAGUGCAAUCACGGGAGACAGACAUCGGGUGCUAACGUCCGGUGUCAAGAGGGAAACAACCCAGACCGCCAGCUAAGGUCCCCAAAUAUAGCUAAGUGGGAAACGAAGUGGGAAGGCUAAAACAGUCAGGAGGUUGGCUUAGAAGCAGCCACCCUUUAAAGAAAGCGUAAUAGCUCACUGAUCGAGUCGUCCUGCGCGGAAGAUGUAACGGGGCUAAGCUAUAUACCGAAGCUGCGGAUGCGUGCUUAGCACGCAUGGUAGGAGAGCGUUCCGUAAGCCUGCGAAGGUGCCUUGUAAAGGGUGCUGGAGGUAUCGGAAGUGCGAAUGCUGACAUGAGUAGCGAUAAAGGGGGUGAAAGGCCCCCUCGCCGUAAGCCCAAGGUUUCCUACGCAACGUUCAUCGGCGUAGGGUGAGUCGGCCCCUAAGGCGAGGCAGAAAUGCGUAGCUGAUGGGAAGCAGGUCAAUAUUCCUGCACCAUUGUUAGAUGCGAUGGGGGGACGGAUCGCGGAAGGUUGUCCGGGUGUUGGAAGUCCCGGUCGCUGCAUUGGAGAAGGCGCUUAGGCAAAUCCGGGCGCGGAAUUCAAGGGUGUGGCGCGAGCUCCUUAGGGAGCGAAGCAAUUGGAAGUGGUUCCAAGAAAAGCCUCUAAGCUUCAGUCUAACGAUGACCGUACCGCAAACCGACACAGGUGGGCGAGAUGAGUAUUCUAAGGCGCUUGAGAGAACUCGGGAGAAGGAACUCGGCAAAUUGGUACCGUAACUUCGGGAUAAGGUACGCCCUUGUAGCUUGACUGGCUUGCGCCAGAAGGGUGAAGGGGUUGCAAUAAACUGGUGGCUGCGACUGUUUAAUAAAAACACAGCACUCUGCAAACACGAAAGUGGACGUAUAGGGUGUGACGCCUGCCCGGUGCCGGAAGAUUAAAUGAUGGGGUGCAAGCUCUUGAUUGAAGUCCCGGUAAACGGCGGCCGUAACUAUAACGGUCCUAAGGUAGCGAAAUUCCUUGUCGGGUAAGUUCCGACCUGCACGAAUGGCGUAACGAUGGCCACACUGUCUCCUCCCGAGACUCAGCGAAGUUGAAGUGUUUGUGAUGAUGCAAUCUACCCGCGGCUAGACGGAAAGACCCCAUGAACCUUUACUGUAGCUUUGCAUUGGACUUUGAACCGAUCUGUGUAGGAUAGGUGGGAGGCUAUGAAACCGGAACGCUAGUUUCGGUGGAGCCGUCCUUGAAAUACCACCCUGGUUUGUUUGAGGUUCUAACCUUGGCCCGUGAUCCGGGUCGGGGACAGUGCAUGGUAGGCAGUUUGACUGGGGCGGUCUCCUCCCAAAGCGUAACGGAGGAGUACGAAGGUACGCUAGGUACGGUCGGAAAUCGUGCUGAUAGUGCAAUGGCAUAAGCGUGCUUAACUGCGAGACCGACAAGUCGAGCAGGUGCGAAAGCAGGUCAUAGUGAUCCGGUGGUUCUGUAUGGAAGGGCCAUCGCUCAACGGAUAAAAGGUACUCUGGGGAUAACAGGCUGAUACCGCCCAAGAGUUCAUAUCGACGGCGGUGUUUGGCACCUCGAUGUCGGCUCAUCUCAUCCUGGGGCUGUAGCCGGUCCCAAGGGUAUGGCUGUUCGCCAUUUAAAGAGGUACGUGAGCUGGGUUUAAAACGUCGUGAGACAGUUUGGUCCCUAUCUGCCGUGGGCGUUGGAUAUUUGAAGGGGGCUGCUCCUAGUACGAGAGGACCGGAGUGGACGAACCUCUGGUGUACCGGUUGUCACGCCAGUGGCAUCGCCGGGUAGCUAUGUUCGGAAGAGAUAACCGCUGAAAGCAUCUAAGCGGGAAACUCGCCUUAAGAUGAGAUAUCCCUGGGGACUAGAUCCCCUUGAAGGGUCGUUCGAGACCAGGACGUUGAUAGGUCAGGUGUGUAAGCGCAGUAAUGCGUUCAGCUAACUGAUACUAAUUGCCCGUAAGGCUUGAUCCU
rnacentral:rRNA from 1 species